rnacentral:misc_RNA from 1 species
AAGUCGUAACAAGGUUUCCGUAGGUGAACCUGCGGAAGGAUCAUUAACACGUAUCCAAACGUUAAACAACCCCGUGAACAUACAACCUGCUCUGGUCGCCCGCUCGCAUGGACAAGCCCAGUAAAUCAAGCCCCGGAAAGUUUUUGAUUUGGGACCUCUGUGCGCGUGAGAAAAACUGACAGCGAUUCAUAGAAGCGGUAGGUCAAGUGACACGGCGUCCCCUUCGGAAGGGAGCGGUGUUAGCUCGGUAUACACGGAAGCCGGUCGGUGGUCGACCUCUAGCAAUCUUGAAGAGUCGUCCUUGACGCUCCAGCGACACUUUCAUUCACUGGUCACUUACCCCACUUUAUUGCCUUGCCUGUAAGCAUCCAUACGGAUGGGCAGGCCCCCCGAACAACUGUUAACAAUGGAUAUCUUGGUUCUC